AGUCACGAAAGCUUUAAAUCGAAAUUUAGCAUCCCCCAUCUUAAACUUAAAAGGUUGCUAGAGCACCUCCGUCUGAAGUGGUUACUUCCAACCACCUUGGACGGGCGGAUUCGACUCGUCGCAAUCGGCACGAGUCGGAAGUCGCACGGCACCGAGACGGCCCCACCGAAGAUCACCGAAGAUCACUGAAGAUCACCGACGGCCUUUACAGGAUCAUGGACAGACGGUGCACCGCAGCGUUGUUUCGGCCUGCAUCUCUCCGCUGCCUACGCCGACCACCAGAUUCUCACCGGGUGGCUAAUGUCGAGGUUUGGCAUGACGGCUACAGCACCGAGGUGGAUUUAGGUCAUAACCUAGAUGGUGGAUUUUUUUUUUUGUACCAGUUGAAAGGGUAAAAACCUAUUACUACAGUAUAUUUUGUCACUGGUAAAGGAGGUCUCAGUGUAAAUGCUUACCCCGAGCUCUCAAUACUCUGAUAGUGCGCUGUCUUUGAGUUGUACGCCUUUUGGCGUCAUCUGGUCCAACACCAAUGGAGACUAGGCUCUAAGAAAAGCUGUCUCGAGCGUGGACCAAUCAACUUCAAGGACAGUGCAUAUCAUUAUCAUCAGAGUUUCUUUUUGUUUGCAUUUUGACUGCUUGUGUUGUGGUUAUUGCAAACAUGAUGCCUUGUAUAAAGGUGUCAGUUUUUUGUACCAGUUGAAAGGGUAAAAACCUAUUACUGCUACUCUGAAUAUUGUAAAAGCAAUGGCUCUCCGCACAUAGCAGGCACAUGUUGAGAGUAAAGUAAGAUGGCCAUUGUGAGCCCAAUCGUUUGUGCUCGAAGUUGUUGCUACCGUAUAAACGAUGCAAUGUUUUUUUUAACCCAUCUUGAUCACAAUUGAAAGAGAACAAAAACACGUCUGCUCUUCGGUUGAUCAGAACUCAGAGUGGCGUAGAUAUUUACACAAACACAAACACACGGAUCACCGUGCAUUUUCAGUAUUUCUGCACGAGAUGCUCUUUCUCUGCCCUCCCGCUUCUCUUCUGCACGCGCAAAUCUUUCGACCCAAUGGCAAAUCCGUGGAUCCCGUCCGUUCAUGUGGCCCGUGUUUUACGUGCCGUGCGGCGCUUUUAUUUGUGGUGGCGGUAACGCCUUGCAGCACCCUUUCCACUGUGAGCGUGUCGCAAGGCGAAGAAGCCGUUUGAUCUCGUCUCUCCGUAGAGCUGAUGUAAUCGAUAAUAUAAUUUAUUGUUCAGUUUUAGCGUUCAGUUUUAGCGCGUUUUCUUUUUUGGUCCUAAUGUAUCGCAUCAGUUUGUAACUUUUGACAUCCUCCGUUUUCACGUCGGAUAAGCAAGCGGAGGUUUUUAUUUCGGUAUCCGCAAUAACUCUUUUAUUCGUGACCCGUUUGUGACAUUCCUGAUAACAGGAUUGCUUUUUUACAUAAGUCUGCUUUUUCUAUGAAAGUGCGCAUUCGCUGGAUAAGUUGCGAAUGUUCCGACCUCGCAUGCAACAGGCGGCACGGAUAAGAGAGUUGCGGAUAUGGGGAGUCCUCUCCGCAUCGUUUUUCACCAGCAUAUGCGAUCGAUACCUGUCAAUCCCUUGUCAUUGCCUACCUUAUUACAGAUCAAUUCAGACCUUAUUGGUCAUCCUUAUACAUCUCAACGUUCAUCCUACAAAGUCCCAUCACAAUGGAGCCAUGUGGACCUGCAAACCCAAUUUCCCUGUUCAAGAAUACCGGGGUUUCGAUUUAAAGCUUUCGUGACUGCAGGGAUUCAUCUUCUUGGUUCUUUCGGUAAAGUCACGUAGAAGGUAAGUAAUAAAAUAAUAAAAUAAAACAUAAUCAAAUAAUUAUCACGACGUUUCGGCCACAACGCAAGCAGCCGUCUUCAGGUGAAGACCAGGUCUGUCGGGGAGACAGCGUCUGCCCGAAACGUCGUGAGAAUUGUAUUUUAUUAUGUUUUAUUUUUAUUAUUUUAUUACUUCCCUUCUACGUGACUUUACCGAAAAAACCAAGAAGAUGAAUACCGAGGUUAUAAACCGGAUGGGUUUGACAGGUAUGGCGAUCGGACUCUAUCAACAACUGCAUUUGUAUUUUUCACGUUUGGGUGAAGCUGAAGCCCCUUCUUAUUCCCUAACCUUACGACCCCCCCUCCCCAAGCCGUAAAGAAUUCCCGCACCGAAUUCGAUGCGAUUCCCACAUUCGUUUUAAACGCGAAUUACGAAAUCAUCUCGCGCCAGAAUCGCAUCCAAAUCUAAAUUGCAUGCGAGCGCCUCCGAUUGCCACGCUCGCGUUAUACUGUUUGGUUUUUUCGGUAAAGUCACGUAGGUCAAAAAUUCAAAUAAAUAAAAUCACGACGUUUCGGAGGCAACACAAGCUUCCGUCUUCAGGUGGAACCGUCACAGCAAAAUUGCUGUAUCAAGUGAAGAGAGCUCUAAGAGACACGAGAAUAUAUACAGGUUAAGGGGGGGGGGGAGGAGCCAGGAUGGGUCAUGGGGGGGGGCUAAGUUAAGCCUCCUUUUGUUCUGCUGCAGGGGGUUAGGGGAUGGAGAGAGCGCCGUGGACAGGCGUUCUCCCAUUCACAUGUUUCAUUGCUUCUACAUAUUAUUAACAUGCCCUCCCUUUGUUAAUGCUACCCCCUGCCCCCUCCCUUUGGUGCUGCUGAUCCUGCAUAAUGCAUGGGCAUAAUAUGACUUUGAAACCCCCCCGCCCACCUCCUACGCAUUUUCCCAUGAAUAUGCUAAAUUCCUCUUGAUAUGCACAUUCUUUUGUUAAGGCUCUCUUCUUCUUCCACCUCCAACGCAGCGUAUAUAUAAGCUCCUAGCUUGGUAGUGUCUCGUUCUUCACCUGAAGACGGCUGCUUGCGUUGUAGCCGAAGAGAAUUAUUUUAUUUUAUUAUGUUUUAUUUUUAUUAUUUUAUUACUUCCCUUCUACGUGACUUUACCGAAAGAACCAAGAAGAGGAGGCAGUAUUUAAGCUGACAAACUGGUUGCCUACAUUAGCAGUAUACUCCCCCCACUUGAUACAGCAAUUUUGCUGUGACGGUUCCACCUGAAGACGGAAGCUUGUGUUGCCUCCGAAACGUCGUGAUUUCAUUUAUUAGAGUUUUUCACCUACGUGGCUUUACCGAAAAGAAAACAGAGUAUGAAUCCCUGCAGUCAAGAAAACUUCAAAUCUCGACACUCGCGUUAGUACGUACACGUUGAGCCAACCGUGCGAGUGGGAGGUGCGGCGGGGGCGGUGGGGGAGUGCGACAAGUAUGAAUACAGAAUAGAAAGCACGGUUGAUAUGGUGGUUUGGAAAGUCAAUGUCUGCCGAUUAUCGCUGGAACAAUUUGUGUGCUCUGCUUUAGCAACCCCAAGGUCUUGUCGAACUCGGCCUGAUAUAUAUAAUAAUAGGUGCAUCGUUCUCUACCGCCGCUCACGAUGUCUCCCAUUUCCCUUGCACUGGCUGUGGAGCACUGCCAAUUUGCACGUUACAUUAUGCACCUGGACUGCAUGUUUUCAACGCUUUAAAAAAAAAUGUUUUAUUACAAUUUUAAGUUGACAGGAGUUGCUAGCUCUCCACCAUGCCGAUCUUGACUGUGUUCAAUUCGUUUCACUGUGGUGUAUACCAGAGGUCGCAAACGGGUCUUGAUUCCUUACCCGGCCGCACCAGGGUCGCAAACGGGUACCCGUACCCGUACGGGUAUCGGGUACCCGAUUGCGACCUCUGGGAUGAAGCCAUGUUACAGGCACGGGUGGGUUGAUUCUAGGAACUUGAAUUGUGAGAAGAGACAAGACGUUGGGUAAUGAGUGACAAACAGUUACUCACCGGUGACUCACGGCCUACCCGUACCCGUACCCGGCCACACCAGGGUCGCAAACGGGCCGGGUAUCGGGUAGGGUACGGGUAUCGGGUACCCGGUUGCGACCUCUGGUGUAUACCCAGUGCAGCAUUUUGAGGUUCGGGUUGGUUCUUUGACCACGUGUCCACCACGCAAUGCUGGUCAGGUGUGUGGGGGGUGACGGUGUGGAGCACUGCCCUCUGCUGACAACAUAGCCUCCCCCUCGUCGUAGCUCAAGGAACGUGGGAAAAACAAAGUUAACACCGGUCAACACACUUUUUCUGGCACAAGGUAUUCCAACGGGUUUAAGGUAAUUUUGGGGGUGCUGAUUCCAAAUCUGGCAUCAGUUUUUGUCUAUCACAUCAGGUUUUCGAGUUAUCAAAAAUAUUGCAUUUUCAAUAAAAACUGCAGAAGAAAAGUAUUAAAUAAAUGUGGAUAUCUACAUAAAAUGAUAUUAUAAACACACUAUCCUAAAAAUACAGCACCACAUUUUUACACUAAAGCAGUCACUGACUCGCAACAACUUGCAAUCAUAAGUGACAGAGUUAAUUUCGGCUAAAAUCAAUGAAAAUGGGGUAUGCCGAUAGCAUGAAAAUGAGACGUGAGAGCAAAUCUGAGAUCAGAUUUGGAAUCGGCACCCUGAAAUGAGUCUAAAACAGCUGCAAAAGUCGAGGCCAGAAAAAAAUGUUUUUUUUGUUGUUGACCAGUGUCAUGCUGUCACAAGGGUGACACGGUGUAGGCUAAGUUAUUGUGAUGAUUUGUAACCCGUUUUUGCUUAGCGAACGGACUGCUGCGAGGUCAAGGUAAGCCGAACUUUAUUGAGAGGCCUUUCGCAGCGCGUAGCUUAAGACAACUUAAUUUUACGGAGUGUUUUUGCACCGGCCCCUUUGAGCCAGUUAGUUACAUCCUCGUUUAGAUGUCCGUUAGUUUUCGCUUUCUUGAAGUUGUGUAGUUAUAUACGAUUCGUCGUGUGUUGCGCUCUUCUGCCAAAAUAAAAAUAAAAAUCUUAUUGACCCUU